AACGCUAGCGGCAGGCUGACCACAAGCAAUUCGAACGGUAGCACUUGAGAGAAGCUUGCUUCUUUGAUGACAACUGGCGGACCGGUGACUAAUGCUAGUGAAUCUAGCUUAUGGACGGCGAUAACUACCGUAAACUGUAGCUAAUACCUCCUAUUAUCGAGAGAUGAAAGUGUGGGACCUUCGGGCCACAUUCCAUACGAUGAGCCCAUCUGGGAUUACGUAGUUGGUGAAGUAAUGGCUCACCCCGCCCACGAUCUCCAGCUGGUCUUAUACGAUGACCAUCCACACUGGGACUGAUACACGGCCCAAACUCCUACAGGACGCCCCAGUGGGGAAUAUUGCCCCAUGGGGGCAACCCUAACACCUCCGUGCCCCGUGAAUGAAUAACGCCUUCUGGUUGUAAAGUUCUUUCGGUAACCAGGAAGGCAUUUAGGUUUAGAUACACUAAGUGAUUGACGUCUACUAGCGCUAGGAAGCACCGGCUAACUCCGUGCCAGCAGCCGCGGUAAUACGGAGGGUGCGAGCGUUAAUCGGAAUAACUGGGCGUAAAGGGCACGCAGGCGGUGACUUAAGUGAGGUGUGAAAGCCCCGGGCUUAACCUGGGAAUUGCAUUUCAUACUGGGUCGCUAGAGUACUUUAGGGAGGGGUAGAAUUCCACGUGUAGCGGUGAAAUGCGUAGAGAUGUGGAGGAAUACCGAAGGCGAAGGCAGCCCCUUGGGAAUGUACUGACGCUCAUGUGCGAAAGCGUGGGGAGCAAACAGGAUUAGAUACCCUGGUAGUCCACGCUGUAAACGAUGUCGAUUUGGGGGUUGAACUUUAAGUUUGGCGCCCGUAGCUAACGUGAUAAAUCGACCGCCUGGGGAGUACGGCCGCAAGGUUAAAACUCAAAUGAAUUGACGGGGGCCUGCACAAGCGGUGGAGCAUGUGGUUUAAUUCGAUGCAACGCGAAGAACCUUACCUACUCUUGACAUCCAGAGAACAUUCCAGAGAUGGAUUGGUGCCUUCGGGAACUCUGAGACAGGUGCUGCAUGGCUGUCGUCAGCUCGUGUUGUGAAAUGUUGGGUUAAGUCCCGCAACGAGCGCAACCCUUAUCCUUUGUCUGCCAGCGAUUAGGUCGGGAACUCAAAGGAGACUGCCGGUGAUAAACCGGAGGAAGGCGGGGAUGACGUCAAGUCAUCAUGGCCCUUACGAGUAGGGCUACACACGUGGUACAAUGCGCGUAUACAGAGGGAAGCGAGAGUGCGAGAUGGAGUGAAUCUCACAAAGUAGGUCUAAGUCCGGAUUGGAGUAAGCUAACUCGAUUCAUGUAAGUCGGACUCGCUAGUAGUGGCGACUCCAGAGAUGUUGCGCAGAAUACGUUCCUGUGCGUUGCACACACCGCCCGUCA
rnacentral:rRNA from 1 species